CGGUAGAUAUUUACAGCGUGCCACGGCGUUACCGUGAUUUCAUUUUUUUCAUUAAUUUUUGCUAACUGUGUUUUCCACCAGAAAUAUUGCUUUAAUCAAAAAAAUGCCAAAUGACCUUUUUUGUUAAUUUUUGAAUAGAGACGCACUUACGCAUAUAUUUUUCCCGCUUUUUGUAACCACAAGAAAAACAAAUUGUUGGCUUUAUACAUUCUUCCCAUAUCUAUUAGGUAAACAGUUGGUUGGAGAAGAUUUUUCUUUCAUUUUGAUGAUAAUAUAAUGAUACAGGCAAUGAAUAUUAUUAUGAUAAAUUGUUAAAAAGUUGUCAUUUACUGUAGGUACUAAACAUUUUUUGAUAAACUUGAAUUCGGACCUUCCUCCACAUUCUCGAGAAAAACUUUUACUCGGCACAUUUUCAGUUUUCAGUUACAAUUUGUUGACAAGUCAUGUGAAACGUUGCACUCCUUUACACCAAACAAGAUUCUAUCAAAAAAUGAAAUGAAAAAUCCUCCCUCUACCUACAAAAAGGUUUUUUUUUUGGAUUUAAUACAAAAUCGCCCAAACACGAAAAAAAUAUUUUACAAAAACAUCGAUGAUAUCGAAACAAAGAAGUUUAUGGAGAAUCUACAAAAAUAUAUGUGCUCAGGAAAAGUCACAGAAGCCAGUGAUAUCAAUCCUGUAGCUCUUAGAUGCUCCGUUGGCGCGCAAUCCAAAUAGUUCCGGAACUUUUUGAACAGACCUCGUAUACUAAAUAUCAUUAAAAAAACUACUCUGUAAGCUAAAAUAAUUAAUUGUAAAAUUCUGUGUAAUUGUACGAAUAAAUAAAUAAAAUAAUCAUUUAGCACCCACACAAACAAUUUAAUUGAAAAAUGCUUAAAUUAAUAUUUUUGUUUAUUUAUUUUUAGG